CUGCCUGAACACUCCCAUCUCACUGGUCUUUCAGGAUGACCACAAGAACAAUGUAUCAUUCCUGGCGAGGACUCAUCAUCCUGAUGUGGGCGCUCAACACUGAGGCAACAGUGAAGUUUUCUCAAAUUCAUAUAUCACAUAUGACUACAUUUUGCCUGCAAGUAAAUAUUAUAGAAGCAGCAGCAGCACUUGAGUGCCCAGCGUAGUACUUGGCAUUCUACAUAUAAAAAGGAGGCAGAAAAGAGGGGAAAAAUGGAGAAAGAAGGAAAUCAUUGAGUGUUCAUUAUUACGCAUCUUUCCAUACAAGGCACACAUAUGUCUGUAAUCUUCCUGACAAAGAAAGAUCUUCCAUCUACUACUUUACUCCCCAAAUGCCCAUCCAAGCUUGGCUGGGCCUGGCCAAAUUCAGGAACCUAGAAUUCUACCAGAGUCUCCCACAUGGAAUACAGGGUCCCAAGUAAUUGAACCAUCAUUUGC